GCCGGCGUAGCUCAUCGGUAGAGCAGGGCUUUUGUAAAGCUCAGGUUGGGGGUUCGAUUCCCUCCGCCGGCUCCA
rnacentral:tRNA from 1 species